UCCGGAAUGGUGUAGUGGCUAGUAUUUCUGCCUCUCAAGAUCUGUUGUUUCAACAAUAAAAGAUGUGCGCAGGAGACCGGGGUUCAAUUCCCCGUUCCGGAA